rnacentral:siRNA from 1 species
AAGAUCCGGUUGCAGUUUAAGUU